rnacentral:lncRNA from 1 species
UUCUGUGGUCCUGGGCCCCAAGUCUGAUCCCUGGUGUCCCUGGCCAGGUAUGUGCAGUGUCUGAACUUCCUGGCCGGCCUUUGAGGUGAGCCUUCCUUCCUCACCCUGACAUCUGUUCUAGUGUUUGGAAAGUGUAUGAAUGAUAACCCCUUAUUGAGAGCGCCUUCUAAAGCUUCAAUCGCUUCUUUGAAAAGGGAAAUUGUUUCAGGUUGUCUUUUUUUUUUUUUUUAUUGAUUUUAAUGUAAAGUAGCACUUUGAAGUUCACAAUUUAUAGUUCCCUGGGCAUCAGGUGGGGAAGGGGGUCAGAGGCUCAUUCUCCCUUUCUUCUUCAGUCUCCGCCUUUGGGGCCCCUUGGGACAAGGCAUGCCUCAAAGGCAGCACCUUGUUCUUCAGAGCCCUCUCCUGCCAGGUCACAUUUUCAGGGGAUCAAGGCUCCGAUGAAGAAAAGAUAAGAAAAUUGCCCCUAAUGAGAUCCAGAAGUAACGGGCACUUUCUCCUCGGGCUUAGAGACUUAUGAGAGAAAAGGAACCAUAAUUCAAACCAGGCCCCAAGCCAGACACAGCUUUGAAGUUGUCGGAGCUCAGUCAGAGCACCAUGGACUGGGAGGUAGAGUGAUACGCUGUCCUUAGCCUCCUGGACCUGUCUGCAGUGACAGAGUCAUGUGUCAUCAGGAAGCUUAACAAAGAUGUCAGCAAUGUGGUCUUCUGAGGGUCAUCCAUAAUUUCUCACUGAUGAGACACUGGCCUCAGACUACAAAGCCCAGUACCCUUCAGUGGGCCUUCGGUCCUCAUUCCUGUCUAUAGCCUGCUUCUGUUGAUGCCUUCUCCAAAGAGCUAUUCGGGUAGUAGUAAGAUUACACAUAGCCCUUGUGACUACACACUCCGCUGGUACCACCUGUAGUCACCACUGCCUUCUGAAUGGCUUCAUGUCUGAGAAACAAGCACUCCCAGUGUAGAAAUUUGGUCAAACCAUCAACUACCUUUAUAGAGGUAGUUGCAGUUCAUCAUGGCAUCCCACUGCUUCCUUAGAUAGAAUUUCAGCAAACCCAGUAAGUGGUGGUAUGAUAGUCUUAGAAGUCAAGACAGGAGAAGCACAAAGGAAGUCCAAUGAAUCAGCAACCUCUCUUGAUCUGCUUGAUCCCACAGAGAAACCAGGGAUAAAGUUUAUUUACAUCUGUGAUGCAAAGGUUGGCUCUCAACCACCAGGGGCCCUCAGAAGCCCCCAGAGGUGAGGCCCAGGGCAAGCAUUAUGGGGAAAAGCAUCCCCAAAGAAAUUGCCUGUUCACCUUGAUCCUGGGGAUGCUGUUGAGGGUUCCUUCCUGCUAAACAAUAAGUGAUGUGUCUACUGCGGCCUGGGUAAAAGACAUGGUCCCAGGAUAAAGCAUGUUUGAGUAGACAAAUCCAAUGGAAAGAAGCCUAGAAGAUGAGACUACCUCCUUAAACAGUAACAAGCCAUGGAAUUGGAUGGUGAGAUGGCUCAGCAGUUAAGAGCACCUGCUGCUCUUCCGAAGGUCCUGUGUUCAAAUCCCAGCAACCACAUGGUGGUUCACAACCAUCCGUAAUGACAUCUGACGUCCUCUUACAGUGUCUGAAGACAACGGCAGUGUACUUACAUAUAAUAAUAAAUAAAUAAAUCUUU